rnacentral:misc_RNA from 1 species
AUAUAUAUAUCAACCUCAGUGGUUUGGAUGUGGGGGGAUUUUUGCUGGCCUGUUCAGCUCCUCUGAAAUGCAUUAGCAGAACAACCUGUUCAUUGGUGUGAUAACUAUCUACGCUAUUGAAUGUGAGGUGCAGUUCAGCUUUCUAACAGUCUUUGGACAGUUUGUUUAUCAUUU